CUUGUUGGUGGGGUGAUGGCCUACCAAGGCGACGACGGGUAGCCGGCCUGAGAGGGCGACCGGCCACACUGGGACUGAGACACGGCCCAGACUCCUACGGGAGGCAGCAGUGGGGAAUAUUGCACAAUGGGCGGAAGCCUGAUGCAGCGACGCCGCGUGAGGGAUGACGGCCUUCGGGUUGUAAACCUCUUUCAGCCCUGACGAAGCGCAAGUGACGGUAGGGGCAGAAGAAGCGCCGGCCAACUACGUGCCAGCAGCCGCGGUAAGACGUAGGGCGCGAGCGUUGUCCGGAUUUAUUGGGCGUAAAGAGCUCGUAGGCGGCUUGUCGCGUCGGCUGUGAAAUCCCGUGGCUCAACUGCGGGCUUGCAGCCGAUACGGGCAGGCUAGAGUUCGGUAGGGGAGACUGGAAUUCCUGGUGUAGCGGUGAAAUGCGCAGAUAUCAGGAGGAACACCGGUGGCGAAGGCGGGUCUCUGGGCCGAUACUGACGCUGAGGAGCGAAAGCGUGGGGAGCGAACAGGAUUAGAUACCCUGGUAGUCCACGCUGUAAACGUUGGGCGCUAGGUGUGGGGGGCCUCUCCGGUUCUCUGUGCCGCAGCUAACGCAUUAAGCGCCCCGCCUGGGGAGUACGGCCGCAAGGCUAAAACUCAAAGGAAUUGACG
rnacentral:rRNA from 1 species